rnacentral:rRNA from 1 species
AUUGAACGCUGGCGGCAGGCCUAACACAUGCAAGUCGGGCGAGUGGCGGACGGGUGAGUAAUGUAUGGGAAACUGCCUGAUGGAGGGGGAUAACUACUGGAAACGGUAGCUAAUACCGCAUACCAUCAGAUGAUCCCAGAGGGGAUUAGCUAGUAGGUGAGGUAACGGCUGACCUAGGCGACGAUCCCUAGCUGGUCUGAGAGGCGGAACAGCCAAACUGGAACUGAGACACGGCCCAGACCCCUACGGGAGGCAGCAGUGGGGAAGAUUGCACAAUGGGCGCAAGCCUGAUGCAGCCAUGCCGCGUGUAUGAAGAAGGCCUGCGGGUUGUAAAGUACUUUCAGCGAGGAGGCGUUACUCGCAGAAGAAGCACCGGCUAACUCCGUGCCAGCCGCCGCGGUAAUUC